CCUAAUUUCCCUUCCCUGACCUUGACUCCUUGAGAGAAUGAGAGUUGAGAGUGAGACCCUGAGUCCCUGUUCCUGACCCUCGCCUCGAGGCCUCGACUUCCUUCAGCAGCUCAUCGUUGUCGGUCUUCCAGUCGCCAGUUGCUGUCUCAUCAUCACGAUUCUCGCCAGUUCUCACCGAAUCGCACUUCUGGCGGCGCUAUUUGGUCUUGCCUCUACUCUAUCCUCUGCUCAUCUCUCCUCCUCUGCAGCUCAUCGUCGUCGGCCUCUCAGUCGCCGGUCCCUGUCUCAUCACGAUUCGCGCUAGUCCUCACCGAAUCGCACUCCCGGCGGCGCUGUUUGGUCUUGCCUCUACUCUAUCCUCUGCUCAUCUCUCCUCCUUGGCUCCUUUGUCUCUCGGACCUCGACGGUUGUGUCCGGCCUCCGGCGAAAUUCCGGCGUGCUCCUCUCUCCUCCUCUGCUUCUUGGCGGCUGUGCCUCAGACUUUCAGUUGAGUUGUUGAUUUUGCUAUGGAUAACUCUUUCUCUAUGGAAGUUGAAGGUGAAGAUGUGAAUCCUCAAGGUGCUAGGCGAGACGGUGUUUCAACUUUCGGAUCAGAUUUAAAUUUUAUUGAUUUAGAAGUUGAUAAUUGAUUGAUGUGGAUUGAUUUAAGGAUUUUUUUCGGAUGUCUUGUUGAUUUAUGAAUUAUGUUGUGUGUUUUGUUUUAAUUAUAAUAGAAUUUAUGUGUGGAUUA